AACGAACGCUGGCGGCAUGCCUAACACAUGCAAGUCGAACGAGACCUUCGGGUCUAGUGGCGCAUGGGUGCGUAACGCGUGGGAACCUGCCCUUAGGUUCGGAAUAACUCCCCGAAAGGGGUGCUAAUACCGGAUAAUGUCUUCGGACCAAAGAUUUAUCGCCUUUGGAUGGGCCCGCGUUGGAUUAGCUAGUUGGUAGGGUAAAAGCCUACCAAGGCGACGAUCCAUAGCUGGUCUGAGAGGAUGAUCAGCCACACUGGGACUGAGACACGGCCCAGACUCCUACGGGAGGCAGCAGUGGGGAAUAUUGGACGAUGGGCGAAAGCCUGAUCCAGCAAUGCCGCGUGAGUGAUGAAGGCCUUAGGGUUGUAAAGCUCUUUUACCCGGGAUGAUAAUGACAGUACCGGGAGAAUAAGCUCCGGCUAACUCCGUG
rnacentral:rRNA from 1 species